UUGAAUUAUACUAUGAUUCAAAGAAAAGUUUGUAUGCAUAAUUUGGAAAUGCUUAUAAGGUGUUUGGUGAAAUGUCAAAGAGAAGUUUCUAUAGAAUGGAGACCGAGUAAAGUGGAGCAAGAAUUGAUAUGGAUCGUUGCCACCUACUUAAAAUUACAGAAGCAAUUCGAAUACUCCACUGGACCCAAAGAAUCUGAAGAAGUUCGGCGCGAAGUUCUUUGCGAUUUCCCGCUCCGGUCAUGGAUCCGUCCAUGGAUUGGAUAAUUAGUAUAUACUAAAUUGUAUUUUCAUUUGUAAAUUACUAAUGUUUUAAACAAAUCAUACCUAAACUCAUGGUGUGAUACGUAUGUAGUUGCUCACAUUUAUACUUAUACCAUCGUUCAUUCUUUCCAUUUGUCUUUUAACAGUGCAAAAUUCUUUUGAUUAUAUUGGUGAAAAAAAUAACAUAUUUUACUAAUUAUUCCAAUUUAUUUAGAAAAUGUUACUAAUUCCAGGAGAAAUUAUGUAUUGUAAGAAUGGUUUAUUAAUUUUCUAUUAACCAUAAAUACUGCAUACAAAAGGAAAAGAUAUUUGAUUUGAUUUUACUUUGAUUAGAAGAACUUGUACUAGUAAUAACGAAACUAGUGACAAUGGUGCAAAUUUCAAAUCAACAAUCAACGUACACAUUAUUACAGUAAUUUUUAGUCGAUCAGACUAAUAUAUGCCAUAAAAUAGUAAGAUUUAGUCAUUUAUGAAUUGACAAUUUUAGCAGUUUACAUAACAUUCACCCAUAAAAAAUUAUGAUUACUAUGAAAUGACAUUUUAUAAUGAUUUACAUACCAUUUGCCAAUAAAAAAGGAGUUUGAUAGAAAAAAUAUGCAUACAAAUCCACGAUGUAAAUGAUACAAAGUAUAUUUGAAAGCCAUGGAACUUAAAAUAUGGAUAAAUUUACUAUAAUUUUCAAAGAUUAUACUACAUUAAUACAACUUUAAUUUUUAUACUUGUGACCCGGAAAAUAAAUUUAUUAAAACUUUACCAUUUUAUUAAAUUCAUAGGUAUUAAUAUAUGGAGAUUGUGAUGUAUAAAUAAGUGAUAUUUUAUAUUUGUUGUUAUUGUAAUAUAACUUUAACUUUUAUACUUGUGACCUAAAAAAUAUAUUUAUUAAAACUGUACCAUAUUAUUAUAUUCAUAGGUGUUAAUAUAUGGAAAUUGUGAUGUAUAGAUAAGUGCUAUUCUAUAUAUAACUCGAAAGAUUUGUUGGUAUUGUCAUCCAAGCUUUCUAACCUUUCACAAAUUCAAAAAUAAUUCAGAAUUUGUAACAUGACAAAUUAUUCUUACAUAUUUUAUAAGGUCAAGUGAAAAAAAAAGUUUUCAUAGUAUAUUUAGUAUAUUUAAAAUGCUUAAAACAUAACAUUUGUAAAUGAUGCGUGCAAUCGUGUAUCAUACAUUUACAUGACGAGUAAUUACUAACUAUAAUACUAAGUUUCAAUCAUUAAUAAAAAAUCUUAGCAUUAUUUCAUAAAAACUUCCUAAUACUUGUUUCAUAUAAGUUUUUUAAGUAAAAUAGUAAAUUUAUGCCACAAACUGGUAAGUUUUGAUCAUUAACCAAAUUUACUAUUUUAUCAACAAGAUUUACUAUUAAUCUAUAAAAACUGAUUAUUACUUGAACUAAACUUACUCUCCAAAAAGUAAGUUUUGGAUAUAGAGUAGUAAUUUAUGUCAAAAAAAAGUAAGUUCCCUAUUUAUUUCAAUUUACUUUUUGAGACAUAAAAGUUACUAAUUUAUCGAGUUAACUUACUAUUUUUUAUGUGAAACUUACUAACCAAAUUUUUAGGUAUUAUCUUAUUUAGGUGACCAAUCCAACAAGUAACCAAAUAGUCGCUAAAAGUGUUUUUACCUGUCAUUCAAGAAGUAAUCAUUUAAAGGAUACGAACUCACUUGGAACCAUUCAUUCAUUUAGUCAUUCUGUCUCCAUCCAUUUCUUCCUUAUAACUUCUGAUAUUUGAAAACACAUUUGAAAACAAAAACCCCGACAUUGAUCAUUUCAUUCAAUCAUUUAUUCAUUGCAUUUCAUUCACUGGUCAGUACUCCACCUAAUUUCGUGGUUAUACUCGAGUAUACCAAAACAGUGGCUCAGGGUUACCAACCUACCUGACCGAGUCCGCUUCUUAUUCGAAUAGGCUGGCAACGAAGGGUAAGGGUCCAAUUCAACUAAUGACUUACAUUCAUGCACAAGUAACAUUCAAUCAUGUAAUCAUUAAAAAUUCAUAUUCACUUAGGUCGAGUGCGGUAAGGUACACAUUCGCCUAUCAAUGGUAAAGUGAUUUUUGAAAUACAUUUAACAGUCAAAAAAUAACACACAAUCAAGGCAUUCAAUUCACAAACAUAAGGAACACUCACCACUUGACCUCAAUGUUUCUACUUCAAACCCUGAUUCGUCUUCUCAAGUCCUGUGGUCAUAUAAGCUAUCAAGAGUUUAUCCAUUUAAAUCCAAGAUAAAUGAGAAAAUAUGAGUUCGAAACUUCACUUAACAAACACAGAAAAUUUCAGGUUUAACCCUAAUAUAGUUUCCAAAAGGGCCAAGAUUUCUUGUUCAAAUCAAGUUCAAAUCAAGGGAAACUACAUGUAUGAUAGGUCCAUGUUUCAAGUAUAACAUGGAGCAAGAACAUGUUGAUUAUAGCCAAGAAUUUUGAAGACAACAGGACAAGAUUUUCGAGGUACAAACUAGAAAUUUCGAGCAAGAAAAACAUGUUGGAGAAAACUCAUUUUCCUUCUCUUGGCCUCUUUGUUUUGACUCAAAUCCAAUAUACAGGUGAAGAUUUAGGUUUAACAAAGUAUCUUGAGCAAAACCUUGCCAAAAUCACCACAAAAUUCUGGAAAUCAAAGCUAGAAAGUGGCCCUUUUCUAGCCGGCCAACUCUAAUAGAAAUUACAGCAAGUUUUCCCCAAAUUUUCCAACAAAACUUCCAACUUUCAACUUUAUUUUCUUGGUGAAACCACUAUCAAUCAAGAUAUCAUGUCAUGACAUAUAUGAACCAUCUUCUUAGCAAACAAACCCAUCAAAAUUUCACAUAUUCAAAACUCUAAACUAAACUAACUAGAUUAUGCACCAAAGUUGGAAAUUGCAACAUAAUCUUGACAAACCAUGAAAUCUUCCAUAAAAGUCAUGCAUUUUACCUUAUAGAAUAUCAUCCAUCAAGUAGAUGCAAAGACAAGUGAAGAAAGAUGAGGUUGCUAUCAAGUUUACCUCUUAAAUCCCACAAAACAAAGUUGGAAAUUCACAACAGAACCUGAAAAUCAUAAAAUCCACCAUACAAGUCCUUCCUUUAACUUCUAUAAUAUCAUACAUCAAAUAAACUCAAAGAUAAGGGAAGAUUUUUAGCAAAGUUCACAUCUUUACCUCCAAAACCUUAGAUGAAUAGCCAAGCAAGAAGUACUCAAGGGUUUCUUCCUCCAAAACCUCUCUAAUAGCUUCCUUCCAACCCUGAUUCAAGGUUUGUCAGAGUAGACUAGUGUUUUCUCUCAUUAAUCAAGCAAGAAAUCAAGGCUUGAACUUGGAGUUGGUUUUCACCUCUUUUCCCCUCAAGAAUUUCAGCCAAGACAAGAUAAAGAAGGAAAGAAUAGUGAAGAAAUAAAAGCUUAUUUUGGUUAAGGUCUUAGUCAACUUUGGUUGACUACUUGACA
rnacentral:lncRNA from 1 species